AACGAACGCUGGCGGCAGGCUUAACACAUGCAAGUCGAACGGUUGUAGCAAUACAGCAGUGGCGCACGGGUGAGUAACGCGUGGAUAUCUGCCUUUUGGUUCGGAAUAACUCCGGGAAACUGGAGCUAAUACCGGAUGGUUCCUACGGGAUAAAGAUUUAUCGCCAAAAGAUGAGUCCGCGUACGAUUAGCUAGUUGGUGGGGUAAUGGCCCACCAAGGCGACGAUCGUUAGCUGGUCUGAGAGGACGAUCAGCCACACUGGGACUGAGACACGGCCCAGACUCCUACGGGAGGCAGCAGUGGGGAAUAUUGGACAAUGGGGGCAACCCUGAUCCAGCCAUGCCGCGUGAGUGAUGAAGGCCUUCGGGUUGUAAAGCUCUUUUGGCGGGGACGAUGAUGACGGUACCCGCAGAAUAAGCCCCGGCUAACUUCGUGCCAGCAGCCGCAGUAACAC
rnacentral:rRNA from 1 species